AGGUGGGCCUUUGGCGGCGUCAGAGGCGCGGGUGUUCGGCUACGUCACUGGGGCGCUACGGUUCCUGGAGCUGGGCAGUCUUCUCGUCAGAGUGGGGACUGGUAAGAGCGACCUCCCCGCCAGGUCCUGUGUGUUGCCGGCUGAAGAAGGGUAGGUGAAAAAUUCAGACCCAGCACAGUGUUUAUGUUGGUCAAAAAUAGAAAACUAUGUCUGGCGCGUUCGAGGCGGGAGGACCCUUCAGGCCAAGAGCAGCCUAGCAACAUGGCGCAACCCCAUCUCUGUAGUCCUACUUCAGUAAUGACCAUUUUUUCUUUUUCAGGAUGAUGAUUAUUCCCCACCUUCUAAGAGACAAAGACCAACGAGCCACCACAGCCACCAGUCCCAGAACCCGCCAAUGCUGGGGAAUGGAAAAUGAGGGAGUUCAACUCUGGCCCUCACAAUCCAGUGGAGGAGACGAAACUCAUCUGCCUCUGUCCCUCUGGGCACACCUCAUGCCAGGUGCAUCUGUGGACAGGGGCCAUGCUCCUGGGCUUCCAAAGUUGGAGAAAGCUGCCAGGCUCAGGUGGGUACAUCAGUGGCCAGGUGCAUAUCUUGGUGUGAGGACCUUCACUGUAUCUGGGAAUGCCUACUGGUCACCUCGGUGA
rnacentral:lncRNA from 10 species